rnacentral:rRNA from 6 species
UAUCACUAAGCGGAGGAAAAGAAACUAACCAGGAUUCCCCUAGUAACUGCGAGUGAAGGGGGAUUAGCCCAGCACCGAAGCCUGCGGCCGUUUGGCUGUUAGGCAAUGUGGUGUUCAGGUCGACUUUUGGCAUUACUGCUCCAUCCUAAGUCCAGCACUGAGUAUGGCAACUGGAAUGGCCCAAGGAGGGUGAAAGGCCCGUGGGGGUGGAGAUCAAGUCGGACAGUUUUGCCCUUGGUCGACCUUGGAGUCGGGUUGUUUGUGAAUGCAGCCCAAAGUGGGUGGUAAACUCCAUCCAAGGCUAAAUACAAGCACGAGUCCGAUAGCGAACAAGUACCGUGAGGGAAAGUUGAAAAGUACUUUGAAGAGAGAGUAAACAGUGCGUGAAACCGCUCAGAGGUAAACGGGUGGAGUUGAACUGUAAGCUCCGGGAAUUCAGCUGGUGAGUGUGUCAUGGGCUUGGUCAUUUUCGGCCGGCCUCUAGAGUCCGCUUAGCUGCGGGUCCUUGCUUCUUCGGAAUUAAGGAUGUGCGUUGCGCUUGUCAAGUGCUGUGCGCUCUGGAGGUUGCCGGGCUGGCUCGCCGGUGCACUUUCUCGGAGUGGUCACCACGACCGACGUUGUUGUCUUGCUGCUGUGGUCGAACCGGCUGGGUUUGGUCCUUGUGGCUGAACUUGGUUGGGAUGGCAGGUAGCUCAUUGAUUGGCUUGUCCAGUCUCUGGGUGUAAUCAGCUGGCUGCAGUAGUAUUGUGCAAUGCGUCGGAGACGGCGGCUUUAGAUAUUUGCUUUCGUGCCGUUGAUCGGCAGUGUUGAGUUUGAUUGGCGUGUUACCUGCUUCGGUGGGUCCGUCGGUAGCUCAGUGCUGUUCGGUUAGCGGUUGCUUGAGUGAUAUCGUACAUGGGCCUAUAGUCUGUGGUGUAGCAGCAAACGAUCCACCUGACCCGUCUUGAAACACGGACCAAGGAGUUUAACAUGUGCGCGAGUCAUUGGGCGUUACGAAACCCAAAGGCGCAGUGAAAGUAAAGGUUCGGCUUGUCCGAGCUGAGGUGAGAUCCUGUGGCUUCUCGUGCGAGGUACCACCAAGCAAUGAGCCAUAGGCGCAUCACCAGCCCGUCUCAUGGUGUAGUCAUGUAGCCUUGUGCUGCGUGCAUCACCGGGGCGGAGCCUGAGCGCACACGUUGAGACCCGAAAGAUGGUGAACUAUGCUUGCGCAGGUUGAAGCCAGAGGAAACUCUGGUGGAGGACCGCAGCGAUUCUGACGUGCAAAUCGAUCGUCUAACGUGAGUAUAGGGGCGAAAGACUAAUCGAACCAUCUAGU